GGAAUAGCGCAGUGGUAGAGCUCAUGCUUAGCAUGCACGAGGUCCCUGGGUUCAAUUCCCAGUAUCUCCA
rnacentral:tRNA from 1 species